rnacentral:rRNA from 1 species
UACAGAGGUCUCGAGCGUUAGGCGGAAUCACUGGUCUUAAAGCGUGUGUAGGCGGAUCGUUAAGUACCUUGUGAAAUCCCACGGCUUAACCGUGGAACUGCUUGGUAUACUGGCGGUCUUGAGCCAGCUAGGGGCUACCGGAACAAAUGGUGGAGCGGUGAAAUGCGUAGAUAUCAUUUGGAACGCCAAUGGUGAAAACAGGUAGCUGGGGCUGUGCUGACGCUGAGACACGAAAGCCAGGGGAGCAAACGGG